rnacentral:rRNA from 1 species
AUUGAACGCUGGCGGCAUGCCUUACACAUGCAAGUCGAACGGCAGCGGACCUUCGGGUGCCGGCGAGUGGCGAACGGGUGAGUAAUAUAUCGGAACGUACCUUUCAGUGGGGGAUAACGUAGCGAAAGUUACGCUAAUACCGCAUAUUCUGUGAGCAGGAAAGCAGGGGAUCGCAAGACCUUGCGCUGAUUGAGCGGCCGAUAUCAGAUUAGCUAGUUGGUGAGGUAAAGGCUCACCAAGGCGACGAUCUGUAGCGGGUCUGAGAGGAUGAUCCGCCACACUGGAACUGAGACACGGUCCAGACUCCUACGGGAGGCAGCAGUGGGGAAUAUUGCGCAAUGGGCGAAAGCCUGACGCAGCAACGCCGCGUGGGUGAAGAAGGUCUUCGGAUCGUAAAGCCCUGUCAGGAGGGACGAAACGAAAUGACGGUACCUCCAAAGGAAGCACUGGCUAACUCCGUGCCAGCAGCCGCGGUAAAGUCGU